CACGUAGGGGGCAAGCGUUGUCCGGAUUUAUUGGGCGUAAAGAGCUCGUGGGCGGUUCGGUAAGUCGGGUGUGAAACCUCCAGGCUCAACCUGGAGACGCCACCCGAUACUGCUGUGACUAGAGUCCGGUAGGGGAGCGUGGAAUUCCUGGUGUAGCGGUGAAAUGCGCAGAUAUCAGGAGGAACACCAGCGGCGAAGGCGGCGCUCUGGGCCGGAACUGACGCUGAGGAGCGAAAGCGCGGGGAGCAAACAGG
rnacentral:rRNA from 1 species